rnacentral:tRNA from 1 species
GGGGAUUUGGCUCAGUGGUAGAGCGCUUGCCUAGGAAGCGCAAGGUCCUGAGUUCAAUCCCCA